rnacentral:rRNA from 1 species
GAUGAACGCUGGCGGCGUGCCUAAUACAUGCGAGUCGAGCGAACAGACGAGGAGCUUGCUCCUCUGACGUUAGCGGCGGACGGGUGAGUAACACGUGGAUAACCUACCUAUAAGACUGGGAUAACUUCGGGAAACCGGAGCUAAUACCGGAUAACAUGUUGAACCGCAUGGUUCAACAGUGAAAGACGGUUUUGCUGUCACUUAUAGAUGGAUCCGCGUCGCAUUAGCUAGUUGGUAAGGUAACGGCUUACCAAGGCAACGAUGCGUAGCCGACCUGAGAGGGGAGUCGCCAAACAUGAACUUGGAACCCGUCCCAGAUCCCAAGGGGAGGCGCCAGUAGGGAUCUUCCGCAAUGGGCGAAAGCCUGACGGAGCAACGCCGCGUGAGUGAAGAAGGUCUUCGGAUCGUAAAACUCUGUUAUUAGGGAAGAACAAAUGUGUAAGUAACUAUGCACGUCUUGACGGUACCUAAUCAGAAAGCCACGGCUAACUACGUG